UAUUGUACAACAUAUUGUAGAAGUAACGAUGUCAUAUGUCGUUUAAUUUAACAUCAAUGAACUUUCUUAUAGCUGGAUACAUAUACAUAUACCAUACCAAUACUUAUAAUGAAGAGGCAAAACAAAAUUAUAAUUAGUUUUUACAAGCUGAUGGCUUUGCGCCUUGUAGAACCUAAAUUACCGUUAAUGCGUCGUAAAAUUUGAUAAAAUCUAAUAAAGAACCACAGCAUCUAGAUACAUUAAAUAACAAAUGACGUUUAUUAUGGUUUUAUG